AACGCGAAGAACCUUACCUGGCCUUGACAUCUACGGAAUCCUACAGAGAUGUGGGAGUGCCUUCGGGAACCGUAAGACAGGUGCUGCAUGGCUGUCGUCAGCUCGUGUCGUGAGAUGUUGGGUUAAGUCCCGCAACGAGCGCAACCCUUGUCCUUAGUUGCCAUCAUUAAGUUGGGAACUCUAAGGAGACCGCCGGUGACAAACCGGAGGAAGGUGGGGAUGACGUCAAGUCAUCAUGGCCUUUAUGGCCAGGGCUACACACGUGCUACAAUGGCAGGUACAGAGGGACGCCAACGCGCGAGCGGGAGCCAAUCCCAGAAAGCCUGUCGUAGUCCGGAUCGGAGUCUGCAACUCGACUCUGUGAAGUCGGAAUCGCUAGUAAUCGCAGAUCAGCAUUGCUGCGGUGAAUACGUUCCCGGGCCUUGUA
rnacentral:rRNA from 1 species